GGCUUUUUGAUUAUAAUUAAAAGUCUGGCCUGCCCAAUGAGGGGUUGAAUGGCCGCGGUAUUUUGACCGUGCUAAGGUAGCAUAAUCAUUAGUUUUUUAAUUGGAUACUGGAAUGAAAGGUUUGAUGAGAAAAUUUCUGUCUCUAUUUAAUUUAAAUUGAAUUUUAUUUUUAAGUAAAAAAGCUUAAAUAUUUUUGAAAGACGAUAAGACCCUAUAGAGUUUUAUUAAUGAUUUUUUAUUUUAUAUUGGUAUAGAAUUUAUUUUAAUUUUUUAUUAAUUUGGUUGGGGUGAUCGAAAAAUGAAAUAAACUUUUUGUUUUAAUAUUACAUUAAUAAAUGAUUUUUUGAUCCGUUAUUAACGAUUAUAAGAUUAAAUUACCUUAGGGAUAACAGCGUAAUUUUUAUUGAGAGUUCUUAUCGAAAUGAAAGAUUGCGACCUCGAUGUUGGAUUAAGAUUAAAAUUUGGUGAAGAAGCUAAAUGUUUAGGUCUGUUCGACCUUUAAAAUCUUACA
rnacentral:rRNA from 1 species